ACCUAUCAGCUUUCGACGGUAUGGUAUUGGCUUACCGUGGCAGUGACGGUUAACGGGGGAUUAGGGUUCGAUUCCGGAGAGGGAGCCUGAGAAACGGCUACCACAUCUAAGGAAGGCAGCAGGCGCGCAAAUUACCCAAUUCUAACAGCAUAAGAGAGGUAGUGACAAGAAAUAACAAUACAAGGCAGUUAAAAUGCUUUGUAAUUGGAAUGAUAGAAAUUUAAACACUUUUUAAAGUAUCAAUUGGAGGGCAAGUCUGGUGCCAGCAGCCGCGGUAAUUCCAGCUCCAAUAGCGUAUAUUAAAAUUGUUGCAGUUAAAAAGCUCGUAGUUGAAUUUCUGCUAAAAAUAACCGGUCUGCUUUUAAUAAAGGUGGUAUCUUGGUGUGUUUUUAGCAAUAAUGUCCUUUGAAAUGUUUUUUACUUCAUUGUAAUAAAUUAUAUUUAGGAUUUUUACUUUGAGAAAAUUAGAGUGUUUCUAGCAGGCUAAUGCUUUGAAUACUGCAGCAUGGAAUAAUAAAAUAGGAUUUUGGUUCUACAUUAUUGGUUUUAAGAGCUAAAUUAAUGAUUGAUAGCGAUGAC
rnacentral:rRNA from 1 species